AGUGAAAUACCUUAUUAGAGGGUUACAGUGAUAGUGUAAACGUGUUUCCAACUUUCACUU
rnacentral:tRNA from 1 species